GAGUUUUUGUAGAUUUUCAAAUAAAACUCAGAGAUUCCUUGUAUGACUCUCUCAGAUCUCUCUUUGGUGGUAUUUUUGGAUCCUUACCAAGGCAGUGAUGGUAUAUGCCUUCUCUCAAAAUAUGUGGUAUUUGUGGUAUAAGGCAUAGUGACAUUGCCUUCUCUCUCAUCCUACUCUAAUAAAGCUUUUGAUAUCUGGAGCUCAUAGGUGGGAGAUAAAGUAUACAUACUUACAAAACAUUUAUUGCAUAGUCAAACCAUGGAUCUAGAGAAACAAGUCAAUAAGUCAAAUCAAGAUGUGCAUGUGUGGCGAAUGAAUGGUGUAUGGUGAUGAUGGUGAUAGCAAUGGUGAAAGUCCAAUUCUACUUUUGCUCUUUUCAAGGGAUACAUACCUUUCUUGCUAUUUUGAAACUUUUUGAGGAGAAUGAGAUGCUCUAUAUUUUCUUUUUCUUUCCUCUCAGGUGGGUAUCUUGUACCCCUAAUUCUACUGUCGGAUACUUGUCUAUUUUUACCUCUCGUCUCACUUUUUUUUCAUUUCUUUCGACGUUCCGGGCACUUGCCCCUUUUUAUUUCCUCGUAUCUUUUUCUCUUUUUUUUAGAAUACUCACCUCUUGAAAUAAUAUAGCAAGUGGUAGUGACCAAGAUAACUCGAGCAUUUAGUUCACAGGAAAAAACAAAAAUAGGAGAAUGUUUUUGGCUAUUCUCUCUUGGAUCAGGAGUAGUAUACUUUUGGGUGGCUUUGGAGAUGGAAAUGGGUGGAUAUAUGUGGAUAUGUACUUUUGGAGUAGAAGCAACAUGUGUGAAUGAACGUGCAAGUGAAUCUUGAUUUAACCACAUGACAAGCUCCUAAGGGUCUACACAGCUUGACCACACUCAAUGCUCAUAAGUAGUAAAAAGUAUAUGUGUGGCUCAAAGUCUAGCUAGCAUGUAUAUAUAUAGCUGUUGUAGGAAUUUAAACUCUCAUCAUACAGGAACUCAUCAUGUGAUAUUUUAAAGAUUUUCAAAGAUAAAAUUCUCCAGAAUUCUAGCAUCUCUAGGAACAGAUAAACAGCAGCUCAACCUUCUCAUAUCAAAUCCGUUAACAACUUAGACUUCAGAUCAAGUUCUCUUCCCACAAGUUCAGGUUUAGAGCAAGCUUUAAAUUAUAACAGUUAUGUCUAGACUAGAGAGAGAACUAAAAUUUGAAAAUUAGGCAGAGCAACUAUUCAUCAUAUCCAAGCUAGAGUUUUAUUAUUAAGAUUCAGUUGAGCAUAGCCACUUUAUUUAUUUAUUAAGCACACUAAGCAAAAGACAUAUAUAUAUAUAUAAGCACAAAAUCUUUAUUUGGUUUUCAUGGUUAUGUAUAUUUAUAUUUUAAUAUGGUAUAAGUAUAAAUGUAGAUAGAAAUACUUAGCGGGAUAAAUGGGGGUGCUCUCCCCCAAGCUGGAUUUUGACGUAAUUUCUUCUGAUGUAGCUAGCAGGUGGUGGAGGUGUAUUUGAAAGUCGGCAGCACCCUGACAGCGAUUAGAAUGUCCUCCGUCUGCUAGUCUUCUUGAUCCUUGAAUUCUGUGGAGCUCAAAUAGACAACAAAGCUUUGUGGAACUGAUUAGGUCUUAGCAUAAAUAUCUAGCCUUUAUCAUGUUGAGCCUCCUCAAUAAAUGUUACUCUCUUUGGUAGGAUCACAAUCUUAUUUUUUAUAUUUUCAUUUUAUAGAGUAGAAAAAUUAUUUAUUUUAUUUUUAUGCCACCACAGUGAAUGUACUUAUGGGUUUUAUGCCACCCGUAUACUCACAUGGGGCUUACUGGUUUUUUAACAUUUUUAUUUUCUUUUUAGGAUAGUAUGAACAUGAUUAACUAAGCAAACUAUUUGAAAGAAUUGAAAGGAAAAGGAUAACUACCAAGUUUACCUCUUGGCAAGGCGUUCGGUGUUUUUAAGUCCUCCGAACGGGACUCUCGGUUUUCUCAGUUGUCGUGGGAUUUGUUGGAUGGCGUAGUCGGUGCUUCCCACGGCGCCUCUUCUUCGUGUACAACUAUCUUUUCUCUCCACACCUGACUUGGUGCUACAGUCUCCUUAGGACAAUUAUUUUCAAGCUAUAUGUCUUCAAAGCUUUCCACUUCUCCUUCGUAGUCUGCCCAUCCGUCCUUGAUGAUUUGCCUCCUCUGGUUGCGGUUGCGUCGUCUUCCUCGUGUCCUGACCUACUUAGAGUCUUCAACUAUAUAGUUAGGGUCAGUAAAAUAGUGGCAUACCUUCUCAGAGGGGAAGUGCAUGUGGACUUCUCCGGUUCCAAUGUAGAUGAUUGCUUUAACGGUGCUGAGGAACGAUCUCCCAAGGAUGAUGGGUGGAUCGUACUCAUCUUCUCACAUGUCAAUAACCUUCAAGCCUCUUGGUAGUAGUCGUUCGUGAAAGCAUAAGAGGCGUCGGAGUACCGUCUUGCAUCGAAUUGGGGCUGGUGCCAAGACCUUGAGGCUCCAUAUGGAUCAGUGGGAUACCUGCCCGUACUAGAAGGUGGGUUUGUCCACUGGUGAUCUUGGCACUCCGGCCAUGUCUCCUGUUUUGGCUCCUGCGGCUGAGCAUGUCGAACCCAUGGGUCCCGAAGGACUCGAGGGUUGUAGUCGCGGUAAUUUAGGUACGUUGCUUCUUCCGGCCCGGGAUCAGCUCCAUACCAGGUGCGUUCUUUAUGGGUGGUCAUCCUUUCAGAUGUCACUCGCUUUGGAGCUCUCUGUUUCUUGUAGCAUGAUAGGAUCAAGAGUGGGGGUGUGAAUGAAAUCCUUGUUCUUUAGCUGCUGGAAAACAUCCUUCUCCCUGCGGGUCUUCAGUCCAAGGUCUCCUAUCUUGAGGAGGACCUUGUCUCGCGGAUCAGAUGAAGAUGACAGAGCUUGUGGGGGCGUCUGGUCAAUGUUUAUCUCUAACUGGUGCGAGGAGUGUCGGGAUGAGCUCCUUGUACUAAUGUUCUUGAGGGCCUUCCCCGCGUUCUUCACCUUCUUCAUCAUCCUGCCAACAAAAGUUGACACAAAUGCAACUAGUGGAAAAUGUGUG
rnacentral:lncRNA from 1 species